UGUUCUACAGUGAGUUCUGAGUAUACUGCACCGCCCUCGAGGACCUGCAGGGGGCGCGCGAAGCCAGCGUGUCUUAGGUGGCGGUGCGCAUACGCAGUCCGCGUCAGCAGCCAGCAUCUUCCCUGGGGGCGGAGCUUGUUUUCCUCAGGACUGAGCGGGCGGCGCCAUGGAGGCUCCAGGACAGCGCUGCCUGCGUGUCCGCGGGAGGAGGACGCUCCCCGCCCGCUAUCUGAAGUUACGCCAGUUUCCCACUGCCUGCGCCCGCUCCCUGCCGGGGUGUGUGUGGACCUGACCGAGCUGGGGCCCCGGCCGGCUGGGCAGGAGGGGACGGGUGCGCUGGCGGGCCCGCUUCGACUAUUCUCCUCGCCCGCAGGGAGCCGAUUGAAUCUGACUGAGACAUAACUUCGAUGAGAUCACACUGCUAUAAAACGUCAGUAUUGAAAAUCAAAUAUUUCAUACUAUUUCUCAAUCUUGAAAGAAAGAGUAUUUCCAAAAAAAAAAAAAAGAGGAGUUGUUAAGGAGACAAUGGAAAAGACUUCUAAAUAACUACAGCAUUUGGCCAGUUCACAAUGGAGGAAAUAAUGAACAGCUGUACUCUGAUAGACACUAAAAAAAUUCCUUUUAUGGGCCCCAAGAUCCCUGACAUCACAAGGAAAUGAUUCAUUUACAACUUGGGUAACAGAUCUUACCAAAUGUCCCAGGGAAGAAUUACUCCACGUGGAGACCUACUGCUUAAAAAAAUAAAUAAAUACAUAAAAAACUCUGAGCAACCCACCUAGCCACUUAAAAGCAUAAUCCUUCAGCCUCUCUUCCUUGGAAACCUGGUGGAAUCAGUGCUGCAGCUGUCACCCAUUCUCUACGAAAAUCACUGCCUUUGUCUGAAGUAGUAAAGCUGAGAUACUGCACUCAAGAACUCACUACCAAGCAGUGAGCAAUCUCCUCUCUACAAACAUCAUGGACUCAACUCAGGAGCCCUUUAACCUUUACCCUCUUCCUCCACCCUCUAAGGUAGAUGGAGGUAGUAACCAGAUGUGCUUUAUUCAAUCUAUGGUUUCUGCCAAUAGCCACAUUAGAGAAAUGAAGAUGCUCUUGUUGGUUCAAAAACGGACCCCAUACAUAGAGUGCAAAGAGAGACUGAAGAAAGAGGCAAACCACUCCAGACUGGUAUGUGGCAGGUUUAAUAAGCAUGGGAAGUUACAUAUGAGGUUUGUCUUUGGUGGCUGUGAGACAAAUAGACUUCUGAACCUGCUCAGCAGAAUCUUAAAAGUUUAUUUGGAGGCCUUUACUGGAUUCAGUCACAUGUACUUUCCAGAUGGUCUCCAUCAUACAUUGGUCUCUCAAGGCUGUGUCCUUGAAAACAGCUCCAGCUGUGGGAAAGGUGGUCAGAAGGUACAUGGAAAGGGCAGUGGAGGGGUUGAGGAGCUCUGAUUGGUGGGUCCAGCUCAUGAGUCAGCUGAAGUCACAUCCUCUCAUUGAUGACCUCCAAUAGCUCUUUGUUUCUUUUUUGAAGCUCAAAGAUCAAUCUUUACCUAAGCCUGUAUUAAGGACCUGUAUGUGUUAAUAAGCCAGGCCUGUUGACAUUUUAUAUCUAUUUAAAAGACCAUGGUGAUGUGUCCUUCCAUGGACUGUGAUCACAUGUAACCAUAGGUCCACAGUUUCUGCUCUGGAGAAAAUGAUAAAUAGGAACAGUGCAGAAUCCCACCUUUAGAUGAGCAGCUACCUUCAGAUGUGGCUGACAGAGGACAAGGUCAAUAAGCAGGCUAGUCCACUCUCAUCCAUCCUCUCUAAGAAAGAAGCAACCGCAGCUCAGGGUCUCUAGAAUUUCUAGACAGGUGAAGAAAGCCACAUUCUGGCAGGGGGCAUGAAUAGUGAACUUAAUAUCUAGAUAUCACUUGAUAUUUAAUUUGUCAGGGAAAAUUUAUUGAAAUAAUUUUGUCCAAUUCAUGUUGGUCAGUGUUGUAUCAGUUAUUUUGUGUUGAAUGAAAGAAACACCUGGAAACUUAACAACUUAAAAAGAUAACCAUUACUUCUGUCAGGUUCUCUGGGUCAAAGCAAGUCAUAGACAAGCCCAGAUUCACAGAACUGAGAUGCAGAUUCCAUCUCUUGAAUAGGAGGUGCUAUAAAAUAUGUUAGUCAUUUGUUUUGUAAUUUUUCUUAGAUGUUCUGAAUUUCAUUAAUUUUGCAGUUAAAACAAUUAAAUGAGGUGUUUUUCAAAGUAAGAAAA